rnacentral:rRNA from 1 species
GGUUGAUCCUGCCAGUAGUCAUAUGCUUGUCUCAAAGAUUAAGCCAUGCAUGUCUAAGUAUAAGCUGCUUAUACUGUGAAACUGCGAAUGGCUCAUUAAAUCAGUUAUAGUUUAUUUGAUGAUACCUUACUACACGGAUAACCGUAGUAAUUCUAGAGCUAAUACGUGCGUAAAUCCCGACUCUUGGAAGGGACGUAUUUAUUAGAUAAAAGGCCGACCGAGCUUUGCUCGACCCGAGGUGACUCAUGAUAACUUCACGAAUCGCAUGGCCUCUGUGCCGGCGAUGUUUCAUU